rnacentral:rRNA from 1 species
CUCGUGUCGUGAGAUGUUGGUUAAGUCCGCAACGAGCGCAACCCCUAUCGUUAGUUGCCAUCAUUCAGUUGGGCACUCUAGCGAGACUGCCGGUAAUAAACCGGAGGAAGGUGGGAUGACGUCAAAUCAUCAUGCCCUUAUGACCUGGGCUACACACGUGCUACAAUGGUUGGUACAACGAGUUGCGAGUCGGUGACGGCGAGCUAAUCUCUUAAAGCCAAUCUCAGUUCGGAUUGUAGGCUGCAACUCGCCUACAUGAAGUCGGAAUCGCUAGUAAUCGCGGAUCAGCAUGCCGCGGUGAAUACGUUCCCGGGCCUU